CAGUCGCCGCGGGAACACAGAGGGUGCAAGCGUUAAUCGGAAUUACUGGGCGUAAAGCGCGCGUAGGUUGUUUGUUAAGUUGGAUGUGAAAUCCCCGGGCUCAACCUGGGAACUGCAUCCAAAACUGGCAAGCUAGAGUAUGGUAGAGGGUGGUGGAAUUUCCUGUGUAGCGGUGAAAUGCGUAGAUAUAGGAAGGAACACCAGUGGCGAAGGCGACCACCUGGACUGAUACUGACACUGAGGUGCGAAAGCGUUGGGAGCAAACAGGAUUAGAUACCCCGGUAGUCCCUGUCUCUUAUAC
rnacentral:rRNA from 1 species